rnacentral:lncRNA from 1 species
UUUAAAAUUUAAAAUUAAAAUUUGAAAUUUAAAAUUUAGAAUUUGAAAUUUAUAAUCUAAAAUUUAAAUUCAUAUUUAAAAUUUAAAAUUUAAAUUUGAAGUUUAAAAAUUUAAAUUUAAAAUUUAAAAUUUAAAAGUUGACAAUUCAAAAUUUUAAAUUAAAUUUUUUUAAAAUGACAUAUUUAAAGGGUUUGGAGAGUUAGAGGAGUAAAAUUGUAAUUUUACAUAAUAUUUAGUAUUACCGGUUUUUAGUAACGCAAGAUACACGACCUCCCUCCCAUUAAUAUUUUCGGUAUAAUCCUGCUCGAUUUGUAAUGCUACAUUAACGACUAGAUUACAUAGCGGAUGAACUAAACACAGUAAUCAUGACAGGAUUGCCUGUAAUCCUGCCAGGAUAACUCGAACCAAAGGCCCCCUUAAAGUAACCUUGCUUAUGACAAUAGAA